GACGUAGGGCGCGAGCGUUGUCCGGAUUUAUUGGGCGUAAAGAGCUCGUAGGCGGCUUGUCGCGUCGUCCGUGAAAACCUGCGGCUCAACUGCAGGCUGGCGGUCGAUACGGGCGGGCUUGGAUUCGGUAGGGGAGACUGGAAUUCCUGGUGUAGCGGUGGAAUGCGCAGAUAUCAGGAGGAACACCGGUGGCGAAGGCGGCUCUCUGGGACGGUACUGACGCUGAGACGCGAAAGCGUGGGGAGCGAACAGG
rnacentral:rRNA from 1 species